rnacentral:lncRNA from 1 species
GACAUAAGGCCUCCAUUCCGUAGUCGCCUUUUUGCCAACAUUAGGGCUCUAAUCACUGAGUUGAGCCUUUUUAGACAUAGGGCCUCCAUUCCCUAGUCGCCUUUUUGCCAACAUUAGGGCUCCAAUCACUGAGUUGAGCUUUUUGGACAUAGGGCCUCCAUUCCCUAGUCGCCUUUUUGCCAACAUUAGGGCUCCAAUACCUGAGUGAAGCCUUUUUAGACAUAGGGCCUCCAUUCCCUAGUCGCCUUUUUUGCCAACAUUAGGGCUCCAAUCCCUGAGUUGAGCCUUUUAGACAUAGGGCCUCCAUGUCGCCUUUUGCCAAUAUUAGGGCUCCAAUCUCUGAGUUGAGCCUUUUCAGACAUAGGGCCUCCAUUCCCUAGUCGCCUUUUUUACCAACAUUAGGGCUCCAAUCCCUGAGUUGAGCUUUUAGACAUAGGGCCUCCAUUCCCUAGUCGCCUUUUCGCCAGCAUUAGGGCUCCAAUCCCUGAGUUGAAUUUUAGAUAUAGGGCUCCAUCCCCUGAUUUUUUCCUUUAUGGAUAGAUGCAAUCCUUAUUUAAUUUACUUUCAA